rnacentral:rRNA from 1 species
AGCAGCCGCGGUAAUUCCAGCUCCAAUAGCGUAUAUUAAAGUUGUUGCAGUUAAAAAGCUCGUAGUUGAAUUUCAGGCCUGGCUGGACGGUCCGCCCUUCGGGUGAGUACUGUCUGUGGUCGGGUCCUACCUUCUGGCGAAGCGUCAUGGCCUUAACCGGCCGUGGCGGGGAACCAGGACUUUUACUGUGAAAAAAUUAGAGUGUUCAAAGCAGGCAAUCGCUUGGAUACAUUAGCAUGGAAUAAUGGAAUAGGAUAAUGGUUCUAUUUGUUGGUUUCUAGGACCGUUGUAAUGAUUAAUAGGGAUAGUUGGGGGCAUUAGUAUUCAAUUGUCAGAGGUGAAAUUCUUGGAUUUAUUGAAGACUAACUACUGCGAAAGCAUUUGCCAAGGAUGUUUUCAUUAAUCAAGAACGAAAGUUAGGGGAUCGAAGACGAUCAGAUACCGUCGUAGUCUUAACCAUAAACUAUGCCGACUAGGAAUCGGGCGAUGUUGAAAAAAUGACGC